rnacentral:rRNA from 1 species
AGAACGAACGCUGGCGGCAUGCCUAACACAUGCAAGUCGAACGUGAUCCAGGCUUCGGCCUGGUGAAAGUGGCAGACGGGUGAGUAACGCGUGGGAACCUGCCCUGUGGUAGGGAAUAACCGUGGGAAACUGCGGCUAAUACCCUAUGAGUCCUUCGGGAGAAAGAUUUAUCGCCAUAGGAGGGGCCCGCGUCGGAUUAGGUAGUUGGUGGGGUAACGGCCUACCAAGCCUUCGAUCCGUAGCUGGUCUGAGAGGAUGAUCAGCCACACUGGGACUGAGAUACGGCCCAGACUCCUACGGGAGGCAGCAGUGGGGAAUAUUGGACAAUGGGGGCAACCCUGAUCCAGCAAUGCCGCGUGGAUGAUGAAGGCCUUCGGGUUGUAAAGUCCGUUUCGGCGGGGAAGAUGAUGACGGUACCGCAGAAGAAGCCCGGCUAACUUCGCGCCAGCAGCCGC